rnacentral:rRNA from 1 species
GAUGAGCGCUGGCGGUAUGCUUAACACAUGCAAGUCGAACGGUCUCUUAGGAGAUAGUGGCGGACGGGUGAGUAACGCGUGAGAAUCUGGCUCUAGGUCUGGGACAACCACUGGAAACGGUGGCUAAUACCGGGUGUGCCGAAAGGUGAAAGGUUAACUGCCUGGAGAUGAGCUCGCGUCUGAUUAGCUAGUUGGUAGGGUAAAAGCUUACCAAGGCGACGAUCAGUAGCUGGUCUGAGAGGACGAUCAGCCACACUGGGACUGAGACAC